GCCUGAAGAAAAGCAAGGAGACCAGUGUGAUUGAACUGUAGAAUACGUUAAACAGAGUAUUAGUAAAUAAGUUUAGAAAGAUAGGCAGGAGUUAGAUUAUGAAGGUCUUUUCUUAAUUAUUUUUUCCCAUUGUUUCUUGUCACCCUCCCCUCUUUCCUCCCCCCUCCCAGAGUUGACAAGCAAUUUCACUGGGUUAUACUUGUUAUUAUCACUAAAAUCCUGUUUCCAUAUUAGUCAUUUUUAUAAUAAAGUAAUCUUUGAAAACCAAAACCCAAAUCAUAUAUCUAUACAAACAAGUGAUAAAUCAUGUUUCUUUCUGUGUUUUGUAUUAGGUAGUUGUUCCUUUAUGGAUUAUGGUAAUGAGGAAUCAGAUCUGCCUCAUCCUCCCUUUUGUCUCCCUCCUCCCUUCUCCCUCCCACUUCAGCUACUCUCUUCAGUUGGUGACAAAUCAGUUCUGAAAUGAACCAAUGAAACAUAGGUGGAGCCAUAUUCUCUUGAGCUGCUCUCCACAACGUAGAAGGAAUCAAGACAUCAGUAUUUAGAGCUAAAGCAAGCAGAAGACCCCAAAGCAGACUAUAGAGGAGGAGGACUCAGAAGAGGUCUGGAAUGUUUGAUAACUACUUUUGCUGUGCCCUAGUUAGGACAAAGUCUGUUAGUCAACUAUCCAAUCUGUCACCAGGUCCACAUGUAAUCUUUUUAUUUUAAGGAAAAAUUCUUAAGAAUUCAAUAUAACUUCCUCAUUUUAC
rnacentral:lncRNA from 1 species